rnacentral:rRNA from 1 species
AGAAUCAACGCUGGCGGCGUGCCUAACACAUGCAAGUCGAACGCGGUUACCCCGCAAGGGGUGACUGAGUGGCAAACGGGUGAGUAACGCGUGGGUGACCUACCUUCGAGUGGGGGAUAACGUUUCGAAAGGAACGCUAAUACCGCAUGACAUCCUGCCUUUGGACAGGCGGAGAUCAAAGCCGGGGAUCGCAAGACCUGGCGCUUAAAGAGGGCCCGCGUCCGAUUAGCUAGUUGGUGGGGUAACGGCUCACCAAGGCGACGAUCGGUA